GCUGGGCACGGUGAUCCAUGCCUGUGAUCCCAGCAGCUUGGGAGGCUGAGGCAGGAGGAUCGCAAGUUCAAAGCCAGACUCAGCAAAAGUAAGGCACUAAACAAUUCAGUGAGACCCCGUCUUUA
rnacentral:sRNA from 1 species